AUGGUGUCCUUCACCCAUCCCACCUUCCAUCCUGGCCUCUGCAUUUCUAGCGUUUCAUCCUUUAUUUUAGACAAACUGAUUGUUUUCUCUGCAAAACAUCUCCCCUCCAACCCACUUGCACCUUCCUUCGUUCUUCUGCACCUUCAACAUGCCCUUGUUGUGAGAUUCAGACUCAGAAAAGUGCUGGCAUCUCCAGGCCCACCCCCAGCUCCAGAGCUCUUUGCGGAGAGUACAGAAUUGAUCCUCCGGCUGAAGCAUCCUCUGCAGUGCAGACUGACAGUGCAGAACAGAGCCCCGGGAAAGCAGCAUUUCAAUCUGCUUGUAGGAGGGAGCUUCAAGGACAGGCCUGCGACAUGCCCGGUGACUGAGCGUGGUGGUUGCUGCGGAAGCUGCUCUGGUACCCAGUCUCAAAGCGCCUUUGGCCAGAGGUCUGUUGGGAAUGCAGGGAGCUCACCCAAGAAGCACCCAAGGCUCAGGUAGGGUUCAGUGCUUUCUCUUGGAUGGUCCCAUCCACUGCCAUCGUUCCUACCAAUGCUGGACCUUCCUCCAAGGCCUGCUUCUGUUUUUCUGCUCUGAACUGUAUCCCACCCACUAGCCUGGAGUUUGGGGAAAAAAAAAAAAAAAAAAAGCAAACAGGCCGGACAAAUUUUACACCCUCUCAGAAUGUUUAAUGGAGUUGAGAUCAGCCUCCUUCCCCAGGAACUCCCAUCAUCCCUCUCCUGCCAAACUCAGGGACCUUAGCUCAAACAGAGGAAGCUCGAGUGACUUCAUCAAUUAAAUAUAGGACGUCCAGAAAGGAAAGUGACCGCAGUGUCUGUAUGGGAUUCUCCAUCCUAGCUGAACGAGG
rnacentral:lncRNA from 1 species